UACGUAGGGGGCGAGCGUUGUCCGGAAUCACUGGGCGUAAAGCGCGUGUAGGCGGCUCGGUAAGUCUGUUGUGAAAUCUCCGAGCUUAACUUGGAAACUGCCAUUGAUACUAUAGAUCUUGAAUACCGUGGAGGUCAGCGGAAUAUGUCAUGUAGCGGUGAAAUGCUUAGAUAUGACACAGAACACCAAUUGCGAAGGCAGCUGGCUGCACGAAUAUUGACGCUGAUGCACGAAAGCGUGGGGAUCAAACAGG
rnacentral:rRNA from 1 species